GAUGAACGCUCGCGGCAGGCUUAACACAUGCAAGUCGAGGGGCAGCGCGGGAUAGCAAUAUCCUGGCGGCGACCGGCGGAAGGGUGCGUAACGCGUGAGCGACAUGCCCGUUGCCCGGGGACAACCGGUGGAAACGCCGACUAAUCCCCGAUGGGAUAUUGUGCCGCAUGGCACGAUAUUGAAAGUUACGGCGGCGACGGAUUGGCUCGCGUCCGGUUAGCUUGUUGGCGGGGUAACGGCCCACCAAGGCUGCGAUCGGUAGGGGUUCUGAGAGGAAGGCCCCCCACGAUGGGACUGAGACACGGCCCAUACUCCGGCGGGAGGCAGCAGGGAGGAAUAUUGGUCAAUGGGCGGAAGCCUGAACCAGCCAUGCCGCGUGCGGGAAGGAGGCCCUAUGGGCUGUGAACCGCUUUUGCCUGGGGGCAAUAAGGGCGUCGCGCACGUCCGAUGAGAGUACCAGGCGAAUAAGCAUCGGCUAACUCCGUG
rnacentral:rRNA from 1 species